GAUGAACGCUAGCGGCAGGCCUAACACAUGCAAGUCGAGGGGCAGCACAAGGUAGCAAUACUGAGGUGGCGACCGGCGCACGGGUGAGUAACGCGUAUGCAACCUGCCCCCGUCUGGGGAAUAGCCCGUCGAAAGGCGGAUUAAUGCCCCAUAGUUCUCCUUACCGGCAUCGGUGAGGAGGUAAAGGUUACGGACGGGGAUGGGCAUGCGUGCCAUUAGCUUGUUGGCGGGGUAACGGCCCACCAAGGCUACGAUGGCUAGGGGAGCUGAGAGGCUGAACCCCCACACUGGUACUGAGACACGGACCAGACUCCUACGGGAGGCAGCAGUGAGGAAUAUUGGUCAAUGGGCGCAAGCCUGAACCAGCCAUGCCGCGUGCAGGAAGACGGCCCUACGGGUUGUAAACUGCUUUUCUGCGGGAAGAACGGCCCCUACGUGUAGGGGUGUGACGGUACCGCAGGAAUAAGGAUCGGCUAACUCCGUGCCAGCAGCCGCGGUAAUACGGAGGAUCCGAGCGUUAUCCGGAUUUACUGGGUUUAAAGGGUGCGUAGGCGGCUCCCUCAGUCAGCGGUGAAAUGUAUCGGCUUAACCGAUAAACUGCCGUUGAUACUGGGGAGCUUGAGUUGGGUUGAGGCAGGCGGAAUGUGCGGUGUAGCGGUGAAAUGCAUAGAUAUCGCACAGAACGCCGAUUGCGUAGGCAGCUUGCCAAGCCCACACUGACGCUGAGGCACGAAAGCGUGGGGAUCAAACA
rnacentral:rRNA from 1 species